CGCCAUCCGAGAGUGCUCCAGGUGCGCGAGGAGUUUAAAACAGGCACCAGAGAAGGUCACCCGGCACCAGGACUUGUCAGGUUCAAGGAUACCAAAUGGGGGUCACCCGUUUUCAAAGACCAUAAUCAAGUACGCGUGACAUCAAGACCAGGAGUGCAGUGUUCUCGGAGGACUCAGAAGGCUCUUGGAGAAGUCAUAGGAUGACGCUGUCACACCACCUUCCUUGCACACGCAGGCCCCGCCUCUUGAGGCUGCACCACCACCUCCCACUGAUGCCAUUCCCUGGGGACCAAGCCUUCAACACAGGAGCUUUUGGGACAUUCGGGAGCCAGACCAUAACACCAUGGAUAUUCCUGGAUUCUCAUUCCUCCCAGGAAGAGGACUUGGGAUGCCUGGGCACAGUUGAGUUGCCCUGAUUUCUGGGCCUUGACCAAGCUAAGCAGCUGAGUUUAGGGGAGCCUUGUCCCAUGGCAUGGCUAGGGUUGCAGCUAGUGAAUGCAGUAGGCACUGGCAGUAGUCAAAGUCAGGCCUUCUGAGCCAGAGGGGGGCGGGGUAGCGCAC